CCGCUCUUAGAGUUUGAUCCUGGCUCAGGAUGAACGCUGGCGGCGUGCUUAACACAUGCAAGUCGAACGAUGAAGCCCAGCUUGCUGGGUGGAUUAGUGGCGAACGGGUGAGUAACACGUGAGUAACCUGCCCUUAACUCUGGGAUAAGCCUGGGAAACUGGGUCUAAUACCGGAUAGGAGCGCCUACCGCAUGGUGGGUGUUGGAAAGAUUUAUCGGUUUUGGAUGGACUCGCGGCCUAUCAGCUUGUUGGUGAGGUAAUGGCUCACCAAGGCGACGACGGGUAGCCGGCCUGAGAGGGUGACCGGCCACACUGGGACUGAGACACGGCCCAGACUCCUACGGGAGGCAGCAGUGGGGAAUAUUGCACAAUGGGCGCAAGCCUGAUGCAGCGACGCCGCGUGAGGGAUGACGGCCUUCGGGUUGUAAACCUCUUUCAGUAGGGAAGAAGAGAAAGUGACGGUACCUGCAGAAGAAGCACCGGCUAACUACGUGCCAGCAGCCGCGGUAAUACGUAGGGUGCGAGCGUUAUCCGGAAUUAUUGGGCGUAAAGAGCUCGUAGGCGGUUUGUCGCGUCUGUCGUGAAAGUCCGGGGCUUAACCCCGGAUCUGCGGUGGGUACGGGCAGACUAGAGUGCAGUAGGGGAGACUGGAAUUCCUGGUGUAGCGGUGGAAUGCGCAGAUAUCAGGAGGAACACCGAUGGCGAAGGCAGGUCUCUGGGCUGUAACUGACGCUGAGGAGCGAAAGCAUGGGGAGCGAACAGGAUUAGAUACCCUGGUAGUCCAUGCCGUAAACGUUGGGCACUAGGUGUGGGGACCAUUCCACGGUUUCCGCGCCGCAGAUAACGCAUAAGUGCCCCGCUUGGAAGUCCCCCU
rnacentral:rRNA from 1 species